GGACCUUUAACUCAGCAGGUUAGAGUAGCUGUCUCAUAAGCAGCCUGUCCUGGGUUCGAACCCCAGAGGGUCCA
rnacentral:tRNA from 1 species